UCCAUAACAAGGAACAGGUUCACAGAGAC
rnacentral:piRNA from 1 species